rnacentral:rRNA from 1 species
CCCCUAAGGUGAGGCCGAAAGGCGUAAUCGAUGGGAAACGGGUUAAUAUUCCCGUACUUCUGACUAUUGCGAUGGGGGGACGGAGAAGGCUAGGUGGGCCAGGCGACGGUUGUCCUGGUUCAAGUGCGUAGGCUUGAGAGUUAGGUAAAUCCGGCUCUCUCUAAGGCUGAGACACGACGUCGAGCUACUACGGUAGUGAAGUCAUUGAUGCCAUGCUUCCAGGAAAAGCCUCUAAGCUUCAGAUAGUCAGGAAUCGUACCCCAAACCGACACAGGUGGUCGGGUAGAGAAUACCAAGGCGCUUGAGAGAACUCGGGUGAAGGAACUAGGCAAAAUGGUACCGUAACUUCGGGAGAAGGUACGCUCUUGAUGGUGAAGUCCCUCGCGGAUGGAGCUGACGAGAGUCGCAGAUACCAGGUGGCUGCAACUGUUUAUUAAAAACACAGCACUGUGCAAAAUCGCAAGAUGACGUAUACGGUGUGACGCCUGCCCGGUGCCGGAAGGUUAAUUGAUGGGGUUAGCGCAAGCGAAGCUCUUGAUCGAAGCCCCGGUAAACGGCGGCCGUAACUAUAACGGUCCUAAGGUAGCGAAAUUCCUUGUCGGGUAAGUUCCGACCUGCACGAAUGGCGUAAUGAUGGCCACGCUGUCUCCACCCGAGACUCAGUGAAAUUGAAAUCGCUGUGAAGAUGCAGUGUACCCGCGGCUAGACGGAAAGACCCCGUGAACCUUUACUACAGCUUGGCACUGAACAUUGAACCUACAUGUGUAGGAUAGGUGGGAGGCUAUGAAGACGUGACGCCAGUUGCGUUGGAGCCGUCCUUGAAAUACCACCCUUGUAUGUUUGAUGUUCUAACUUAGACCCAUUAUCUGGGUUGAGGACAGUGCCUGGUGGGUAGUUUGACUGGGGCGGUCUCCUCCCAAAGAGUAACGGAGGAGCACGAAGGUGGGCUAAUCACGGUUGGACAUCGUGAGGUUAGUGCAAUGGCAUAAGCCCGCUUAACUGCGAGAAUGACGGUUCGAGCAGGUGCGAAAGCAGGUCAUAGUGAUCCGGUGGUUCUGUAUGGAAGGGCCAUCGCUCAACGGAUAAAAGGUACUCCGGGGAUAACAGGCUGAUACCGCCCAAGAGUUCAUAUCGACGGCGGUGUUUGGCACCUCGAUGUCGGCUCAUCACAUCCUGGGGCUGAAGUCGGUCCCAAGGGUAUGGCUGUUCGCCAUUUAAAGUGGUACGCGAGCUGGGUUUAGAACGUCGUGAGACAGUUCGGUCCCUAUCUGCCGUGGGCGUUGGAAGAUUGAAGGGGGCUGCUCCUAGUACGAGAGGACCGGAGUGGACGAACCUCUGGUGUUCGGGUUGUGUCGCCAGACGCAUUGCCCGGUAGCUAAGUUCGGAAUUGAUAAGCGCUGAAAGCAUCUAAGCGCGAAGCGAGCCCUGAGAUGAGUCUUCCCUGACAGUUUAACUGUCCUAAAGGGUUGUUCGAGACUAGAACGUUGAUAGGCAGGGUGUGUAAGCGUUGUGAGGCGUUGAGCUAACCUGUACUAAUUGCCCGUGAGGCUUAACCAU